UAGAGCUGAGUUACUAUAGAGAGACUAUAACUAUAGAGCUGAGUUACUAUAGAGAGACUAUAACUAUAGAGCUGAGUUACUAUAGAGAGACUAUAACUAUAGAGCUGAGUUACUAUAGAGAGACUAUAACUAUAGAGCUGAUUUACUAUAGAGAGACUAUAACUAUAGAGCUGAGUUACUAUAGAGAGACUAUAACUAUAGAGCUGAGUUACUAUAGAGAGACUAUAACUAUAGAGCUGAGUUACUAUAGAGACUAUAACUAUAGAGCUGAGUUACUAUAGAGAGACUAUAACUAUAGAGCUGAGUUACUAUAGAGAGACUAUAACUAUAGAGCUGAGUUACUAUAGAGAGACAGUAACUUUCUAUAGAGACCUAUCCCACCUAACAAAGCUGAGUUUCUGAGUAUAUAACUGAGUGAUAUGAAUCUUGGUGAGACAGAGUCCUCUGAUCAACGUGUUGGUCACUCCUCUAUAAUCCACUUCCAGUAGUUAGUUCUUUACUUUUAGAAGUUUUACUACCCAUGUUUGUAUUAUGGGUUUAUAUCCAUUUCCUGGUUAUUCUAUAUAUGUGUUCCCCAUAAACAAUGUCUUUCUAAUCCCCCUCAGGUAUUGAUAGUGUUGAAUUGAAUGGAACGAUGGACUAAGGUCUCCUGUUAGAAUCUGUUACAGACCCUCUUAUGUCCAGUACCUGAUAAUCACAGGUAUAUCAACAGGACCACAGGAGGCUGGUGGCACCUUAAUUAGGGAGGAGGGGCUCGUGGUAAUGGCUGAAGAGGAAUCAGUGGAAUGGUAUCAAAUACAUCAAACAUGUGGUUUCCAUGGUUUCCAUGUUUGAUGCUGUUCCAUUGGCUCCGUUCCAGACGUUAUAAUGAGGCUCCUCCCCUCAGCAGCCUCCUGUGAACAAGACUGAUAAAACCAUUUGUUGAAAUGUUUAUAUUUCUGUUUUAGCUUCAACCUGUCAGCUUCUAUUGUAGCUUCAACCUGUCAGCUUCUAUUGUGGCUUCAACCUGUCAGCUUCUAUUGUAGCUUCAACCUGUCAGCUUCUAUUGUAGCUUCAACCUGUCAGCUUCUAUUGUAGCUUCUACCUGUCAGCUUCUAUUGUAGCUUCUACCUGUCAGCUUCUAUUGUAGCUUCAACCUGUCAGCUUCUAUUGUAGCUUCAACCUGUCAGCUUCUAUUGUAGCUUCUACCUGUCAGCUUCUAUUGUAGCUUCGACCUGUCAGCUUCUAUUGUAGCUUCAACCUGUCAGCUUCUAUUGUAGCUUCAUGUCAAUGUGCCAGUUUUUUAUUUAACUUUGUGAAGUGUUUAUUUUUGCUCUACUUUUUUAAUAUUCGCCUUGAGAAUAUACAGAGGGGUCAGAAAUUAUUGACAUCCUUGCUAAAGAUUAGCAAUAAUGACUAUAUUAAAUAAAUCAAAUACUGACCUAUUGCUCAACAUAAAUUAUAGUAUAUUAUUAUAAACUAAUUAUAUUAUUUUAAACUAAUACAAUUGCUGAGAGAAAUAUAUAUAUUUUUUAAGUUAGGGGUCAAAAUGAUUGACAGCCCAAAAUCUCCAGGAGUUUGAUGAUGUCAUUACUAUGACUAUAGAACCAAAUACUGACCUCCUGACUACUUUAAUUACUAGAAUCUAUAGGGGGUCAAUAAUUUAUACCUUUAGAAUCUAUAGGGGGUCAAUAAUUUAUACCUUUAGAAUCUAUAGGGGGUCAAUAAUUUAGACCUUUAGAAUCUAUAGGGGGUCAAUAAUUUAGACCUUUAGAAUCUAUAGGGGGGGGUCAAUAAAUUAGACCUUUAGAAUCUAUAGGGGGUCAAUAAUUUAUACCUUUAGAAUCUAUAGGGGGUCAAUAAUUUAUACCUUUAGAAUCUAUAGGGGGUCAAUAAUUUAUACCUUUAGAAUCUAUAGGGGGGUCAAUAAAUUAGACCUUUAGAAUCUAUAGGGGGUCAAUAAUUUAUACCUUUAGAAUCUAUAGGGGGUCAAUAAUAUAGACCUUUAGAAUCUAUAGGGGGUCAAUAAUUUAGACCUUUAGAAUCUAUAGGGGGUCAAUAAUUUAGACCUUUAGAAUCUAUAGGGGGUCAAUAAUUUAUACCUUUAGAAUCUAUAGGGGGGUCAAUAAUUUAGACCUUUAGAAUCUAUAGGGGGUCAAUAAAUUAGACUUUUAGAAUCUAUAGGGGGUCAAUAAUUUAGACCUUUAGGAUCUAUAGGGGGUCAAUAAUUUAGACCUUUAGAAUCUAUAGGGGGGUCAAUAAUUUAUACCUUUAGAAUCUAUAGGGGGGUCAAUAAUUUAGAAAAUAAAUAUUACUUGUUAAACAAAAUAUUUUAAAUCAGAUCAACCGUAUUAACAUAAAAUAAUAUAAUUGACACAUGUUGUUGAGCAGAUGAUAGAGCUCAGUAUUUAAAUUAUUUAUUUAUACAGUCAUUAUUAUCUUUAUCAGGGGUGUCAAUAAUUCCAGACCCACUGUAUUUUAUAUAUUGAUGUAUUUUAUUCAGUCAUUAUUAUCUUUAUCAAGGGUGUCAAUAAUUCCAGACCCACUGUAUGUUAUAUAUUGAUCAUGUAUAUGCAGUUGAAUGGUAUUUUCCAUGUAUUGAUGAUUUCUUGUUUUAAUAAACUAGGACAUCGUUGUGUGAGAA
rnacentral:lncRNA from 1 species